rnacentral:rRNA from 1 species
UACGGGGGGAGCAAGCGUUGUUCGGAUUUACUGGGCGUAAAGGGCGCGUAGGCGGUCAGCACAAGUCAGUUGUGAAAUCUCCGGGCUUAACCCGGAAAGGUCAACUGAUACUGUGCGACUAGAGUGCGGAAGGGGCAACUGGAAUUCUCGGUGUAGCGGUGAAAUGCGUAGAUAUCUGGAGGAAUACCGGUGGCGAAGGCGGCAUCCUGGACCGACAUUGACGCUGAGGAGCGAAAGCUAGGGGAGCAAACGGG